GACGAACGCUGGCGGCGUGCCUAAUACAUGCAAGUUGAGCGCUGAAGGUUGGUACUUGUACCAACUGGAUGAGCAGCGAACGGGUGAGUAACGCGUGGGGAAUCUGCCUUUGAGCGGGGGACAACAUUUGGAAACGAAUGCUAAUACCGCAUAAAAACUUUAAACACAAGUUUUAAGUUUGAAAGAUGCAAUUGCAUCACUCAAAGAUGAUCCCGCGUUGUAUUAGCUAGUUGGUGAGGUAAAGGCUCACCAAGGCGAUGAUACAUAGCCGACCUGAGAGGGUGAUCGGCCACAUUGGGACUGAGACACGGCCCAAACUCCUACGGGAGGCAGCAGUAGGGAAUCUUCGGCAAUAGACGAAAGGCUGACCGAGCAACGCCGCGUGAGUGAAGAAGGGUUUCGGAUCGUAAAACUCUGUUGGUAGAGAAGAACGUUGGUGAGAGUGGAAAGCUCAUCAAGUGACGGUAACUACCCAGAAAGGGACGGCUAACUACGUG
rnacentral:rRNA from 1 species